rnacentral:lncRNA from 1 species
CCGAGCCUAGCAGGCCCCCGACCGACGGUCGGGUCUCACCCCCACGGCGGAACCAGAGGUCGCCCCGACGGUGGAGUCCAAGGCCGAUACGACCCAGGUAUGACUCCUACACUCCUCUCUCUGCUCCUCGUGUACAGAUUUUAAUGGAGAUCGAAGGAGAAGAAUAUCUGCGACGGCCUCUGCCUCUGAAGGCAAAGGGCCUCGACC